GAUGAAGAACGUAGCGAAAUGCGAUAAGUAGUGUGAAUUGCAGAAUUCAGUGAAUCAUCGAAUCUUUGAACGCACAUUGCGCCCUUUGGUAUUCCAAAGGGCAUGCCUGUUCGAGCGUCAUUUGUACCCUCAAGCUUUGCUUGGUGUUGGGCGUCUUGUCUCUAGCUUUGCUGGAGACUCGCCUUAAAGUAAUUGGCAGCCGGCCUACUGGUUUCGGAGCGCAGCACAAGUCGCACUCUCUAUCAGCAAAGGUCAAGCAUCCAUUAAGCCUUUUUUUCAACUUUUGACCUCGGAUCAGGUAGGGAUACCCGCUGAACUUAAGCAUAUCAAAAGCGGAGGA
rnacentral:misc_RNA from 1 species